AAUAUACAGGAUUCUUCCAAGAUCCUGUAAUUAGAAUGAGUGCACUUCAUAUCAUUUAAUGAAGAUCCGUUGGAGGGCAAGCCUGGUGGCAGCUGCCGUGGUAAUUCCAG